GACGAACGCUGGCGGUGUGCUUAACACAUGCAAGUGGUGCGACGAACCAGAGCUUGCUCUGGGGCAAAGCCGCGAACGGGUGAGUAACACGUGGGUAAUCUACCCCGAUGACCGGGACAACCCGAGGAAACUCGGGCUAAUACCGGAUGUGGUGCGGAGACAUAAGUCUCUUCACUAAAGGUAGCUUCGGCUUCCGCAUUGGGAGGGGCCCGCGGCCCAUUAGCUUGUUGGUAGGGUCAAGGCCUACCAAGGCAACGAUGGGUAGCUGGUCUGAGAGGACGAUCAGCCACACUGGGACUGAGACACGGCCCAGACUCCUACGGGAGGCAGCAGUGGGGAAUCUUGCGCAAUGCGCGAAAGCGUGGCGCAGCAACACCGCGUGAGGGAAGAAGGCCUUAGGGUUGUAAACCUCUUUCAGAUGGGACGAAGGUUCUCCGGUGAAUAGCCGAGAGGAUUGACGGUACCGUCAGAAGAAGCUCCGGCUAACUACGUG
rnacentral:rRNA from 1 species